UUGCACGAGUGAUUCAUAGGUAUCCUUAUUGUGCAAAGCACAGGGGAUUUAAUUGGGAACACAGAACGAGCCUACCCAACAAGGGGCUUUAAACUGUGGCCGCCCCCGCGACUGUAAGCGGCGAGCGUGCGUUCAUAUCCACUGGCUUUGGCUGGGAAGGGAACGUUACGUGUUGAGCCGCGAGCCAGGAGACCAGCCUGUGAAGAACGAAAUCA
rnacentral:ncRNA from 2 species